rnacentral:rRNA from 1 species
CAGGCCUUGACAUGCACUAGACUGACAUUGAAAGGUGUCUUUCCUUCGGGACUAGUGCACAGGUGCUGCAUGGCUGUCGUCAGCUCGUGUCGUGAGAUGUUGCGUUAAGUCGCGCAACGAGCGCAACCCCUGUCCUUAGUUGCCAUCAGGUAAAGCUGGGCACUCUAGGGAGACAAACCCUCUCUGAGGGUGGGAAGGUGGGGAUGACGUCAAGUCAGGAUGGCCCUUACGGCCUGGGCUGCACACGUGCUACAAUGCCCGGUACAGAGGGACGCAAGACCGCGAGGUGGAGCAAAUCCUCAAAACCGGGCCCAGUUCAGAUUGCAGUCUGCAACUCGACUGCAUGAAGCCGGAAUCGCUAGUAAUGGCGUAUCAGCUACGACGCCGUGAAUACGUUCCC